rnacentral:rRNA from 1 species
AUUCCUUGUCGGGUAAGUUCCGACCUGCACGAAUGGUGUAACCAUGGCCACGCUGUCUCCACCCGAGACUCAGUGAAAUUGAAAUCGCAGUGAAGAUGCUGUGUACCCGCACCUAGACGGAAAGACCCCGUGAACCUUUACUACAGCUUGGCACUGAACAUUGAACCUACAUGUGUAGGAUAGGUGGGAGGCUUUGAAGCACAGUCGCUAGAUUGUGUGGAGCCGUCCUUGAAAUACCACCCUUGUAUGUUUGAUGUUCUAACAUUGGUCCCUUAUCGGGAUUGUGGACAGUGUCUGGUGGGUAGUUUGACUGGGGCGGUCUCCUCCCAAAUAGUAACGGAGGAGCACGAAGGUUAGCUAAUCACGGUCGGACAUCGUGAGGUUAGUGCAAUGGCAUAAGCUAGCUUAACUGCGAGACAGACACGUCGAGCAGGUACGAAAGUAGGUCAUAGUGAUCCGGUGGUUCUGUAUGGAAGGGCCAUCGCUCAACGGAUAAAAGGUACGCCGGGGAUAACAGGCUGAUACUGCCCAAGAGUCCAUAUCGACGGCAGUGUUUGGCACCUCGAUGUCGGCUCAUCUCAUCCUGGGGCUGGAGCAGGUCCCAAGGGUACGGCUGUUCGCCGUUUAAAGAGGUACGUGAGCUGGGUUUAGAACGUCGUGAGACAGUUCGGUCCCUAUCUGCCGUGGGUGUAGGAUACUUGAGAGGAGUUGCCCCUAGUACGAGAGGACCGGGGUGAACGAUCCACUGGUGUACCAGUUGUUCCGCCAGGAGCAGUGCUGGGUAGCUAUGAUCGGACAGGAUAACCGCUGAAGGCAUCUAAGCGGGAAGCCCCCCUCAAAACAAGGUAUCCCUGAGGACCGAGGUAGACCACCUCGUCGAUAGGCCAGAGAUGUAAGUGCGGUAACGCAUUCAGUUGACUGGUACUAAUG